CGGGGGUGGGGGGAACGGAGAGAAAGAAGACACCAGGCACCCCCUCUCCGCACCCUUGCCCUUCCCCCAGCCCUCCUGCAGCAGCGAAGACUUAGCAGGGAGGGAGAUCUUGAGAGAGAGAGAGAGAAGGGAGGCGCAGGGUGGCAGGCUCUGCGGAGUUAGGGAGCGACCUCUCAGCCCGCACACCUUGAGCCGCCCUGCCUGGGCUGUGUCUGCAGGACGCUUCCGCACCCCGGGCCGGGGUCAGCGCAAGACAACAGCAAACACAUCCUCUGCAAAAGCUUCUCCACUAAGAUGAGCCUAGCUUACCCAUCAGAGCCCCUGAGCCAUUGACAUCCUCCUGCGGAAGAUGGUCAGCAUCACCGGUCACCAGAAGAGUGACCGCAGCAGGACACUGCCUCACACCACCGGGAGGGCUGGAAACGACAGGAGCCCCAAACUGGAAAGUAACAAGUGUUGCUGUUUUUGGUGAGGAUAUAGCGAAAUUUGAACCUCCAGUGUUGCUGAUGAGACAGUAACACAGUAUGGCUGCCGUGGAGAAUGGUCAGGGAGCUCCUCAAAAAUUAAACCAUCAAGCCAGCAACCAUGCUACUCGGAGCGUGCCCCCACCUCGCCCGAUGACAGGGACCUAAGCAGACACUCGCACUGGAGCACUCACAGUAGCCGAAGGGGACCCAGAACCGGCUGCCCAUGGAUGGACAAACCCACGUAGGCCACACCACACACACACCUGGGAGAUGCGAUGCUGACUGAACGACACAAGCCACCUGGGCAGGAGGAGCCACAGAGAUGGAGCAGAAGGAGGCUUCUGGGGCCAGGGCACAGGAGAGCAACCACCUGAUGGGAACCCAGCCCUCUUCCCAGGGAGGGGAACGUUCUGGAACCAGAGAGAGGUGGUGGUGACUGUGCUAAAUGCCAGGGAAUUGUUCACUAUAAAAUAGCUCAUUUUAUGUUUGUGGAUUUCACCCCAAUUAAAAAACAACAAAAAGAUAAGUGGAGCUCAGGGUCCAGCCAC
rnacentral:lncRNA from 1 species